CAGCCGCCGCGGUAAUACGUAGGGUGCGAGCGUUAAUCGGAUUUACUGGGCGUAAAGCGUGCGCAGGCGGCCCGUUAAGACAGGUGUGAAAUCCCUGGGCUCAACCUAGGAAUUGCGCUUGUGACUGGCGGGCUCGAGUACGGUAGAGGGGGGUGGAAUUCCUGGUGUAGCAGUGAAAUGCGUAGAGAUCAGGAGGAACACCGAUGGCGAAGGCAGCCCCCUGGGCCUGUACUGACGCUCAUGCACGAAAGCGUGGGGAGCAAACAGGAUUAGAUACCCUGGUAGUCCACGCCCUAAACGAUGGGUACUAGCCGUUUGGUGCGCGAUAGCGCAGAGUGGCGAAGCUAACGCGUGAAGUACCCCGCCUGGGGAGUACGGCCGCAAGGUUGAAACUUAAAGGAAUUGGCGGG
rnacentral:rRNA from 1 species